UACAGGGGGUGCAAACGUUGCUCGGAAUCAUUGGGCGUAAAGCGCACGUAGGCGGUCUGUUAUGUCGGAUGUGAAAGCCCUUGGCUCAACUGAGGAAGUGCAUCCGAAACUGGCAGGCUAGAGUACUAAAGAGGGUCGCGGAAUUCUCGGUGUAGCGGUGAAAUGCGUAGAUAUCGAGAGGAACACCUGCGGCGAAGGCGGGUUGCUGGGCUGACACUGACGCUGAGGCGCGAAAGCUAGGGGAGCAAACGGG
rnacentral:rRNA from 1 species